GAUGAACGCUGGCGGCGUGCCUAAUACAUGCAAGUAGAACGCUGAAGGAAGGAGCUUGCUCUUUCCGGAUGAGUUGCGAACGGGUGAGUAACGCGUAGAUAACCUGCCUGGUAGCGGGGGAUAACUAUUGGAAACGAUAGCUAAUACCGCAUAACAGUAGAUGUUGCAUGACAACUAUUUGAAAGGGGCAAUUGCUCCACUACCAGAUGGACCUGCGUUGUAUUAGCUAGUUGGUGAGGUAACGGCUCACCAAGGCGACGAUACAUAGCCGACCUGAGAGGGUGAUCGGCCACACUGGGACUGAGACACGGCCCAGACUCCUACGGGAGGCAGCAGUAGGGAAUCUUCGGCAAUGGACGGAAGUCUGGCCGAGCAACGCCGCGUGAGUGAAGAAGGUUUUCGGAUCGUAAAGCUCUGUUGUAAGAGAAGAACGAGUGUGAGAGUGGAAAGUUCACACUGUGACGGUAUCUUACCAGAAAGGGACGGCUAACUACGUG
rnacentral:rRNA from 1 species